GUUUGGCUCUUUCUCACCCCAUUCAAGUUCCAUGCAUAGAACCAGGACUCUCCGUACACAUUUUAUCUAUUUUUGGGAAUGAAGCAGCACGUCUCAACUUCGUUGAUAUUACCCAAUGAUAUGGGGAAGACCCCGUCAUGUGGCUCCCUUUCCUUCAAAGUUUGACUCGCUCCAUCUGAUACUUACGUGCCUAGCUGGCUUCUAGUUAGGCUUCUAGUUAGCCUUUACAGAAAUCAUUGUUCUCAGGAAUACAAGUGAUGAUGUAUUGAUUUUUUCCGGCUAGGGGGUGUUUUCUUCAAAAGAAAAAAAAUUGGUGGCAAAAUUAAUGGCCGUUACGUCCUUCAAACAACAUAGUCUACGGGGACAAAAGCAUAAAAAAAAAAAAAUGUCAUGGUCUUCAACAAUAUUGGGUGUGCCGCACGUAACUCACUGAUGGUCCACUAGAACAAAUGAGAAUGCCACGUAGUUACCUACGUCGUAAGACCGUGUUUGAACAACUUUUAGUUGAAUUCUCACGCAAAUAUUUAGUCAUUCUUUGACUGUAAUGAUAACUGACCGAGACCGAUAAUAUGAAUCUUGGUUUACUAGUUGCUUUAA